UACGUAGGGCGCAAGCGUUGUCCGGAAUUAUUGGGCGUAAAGAGCUCGUAGGCGGCCAGUUGCGUCUGCUGUGAAAUCCCGGGGCUCAACCCCGGGCGUGCAGUGGAUACGGGCUGGCUAGAGGCAGGCAGGGGAGAACGGAAUUCCCGGUGUAGCGGUGAAAUGCGCAGAUAUCGGGAGGAACACCGGUGGCGAAGGCGGUUCUCUGGGCCUGUACUGACGCUGAGACGCGAAAGCGUGGGGAGCGAACCGG
rnacentral:rRNA from 1 species